GACGAACGCUGGCGGCGUGCUUAACACAUGCCAGUCGAACGGAAAGGCCCUGCGGGUGUGGGGUGCUCGAAUGGCGAACCGGUGGGUAACACGAGAGUAGCGUGCCCUGGACUGUGGGAUAGCUUCACGAAACGGGGGCUAGUACCGUAUAGGAGAUCCUGCUGCAUUGGGGUGGUUGGUAAAUGUCGGCGGUUUGGGAUGGGCUCGCGGCUUAUCAGCUUGGAGGUGGGGUGGUGGCUUACCAAGGCAUUGAAGGGUAGCCGGCCUGAGCGGGUGACCGGCCACAUUGGGCUUGGGCUGCGGCCCAGCCUCGUCCGGGACGCAGCAGUGGAGAAUAUUGCACAACGGGAGGAACCCUGAUGCAGCAAAGCCGCGCGGGGUAUGACGUCCUUCGGGUUGUAAACCGCUUCCGCCUGUGGAGAGGCGUGAGUGACGGUAACGGGUAAAGAAGCACCGGCUAACUACGUG
rnacentral:rRNA from 1 species